CAGUCUUCGUUGUGUUGCUCUACUAACUAUUGAAAAACUCCAAGCUGCACGGUCCCAUUCACUUGCUCCCGAUGCAUGUUGCAGGCUACGCUGUUUGAUCCAGUCAAAAGUCAAGAUCUGCACAAUUGCUAACUCUGGUGACUUCUGGUCUCUGCUUGCUACCUCAAUCUGGGAGAUUCCAUCAUGUCCUUUUACUAUGAUUUGGAUAUAGCCAUUUUUUUCUUCACUCUUUCCAGGACCUACGGUUUGCAAGUUGUGGAAUGAUAAUGAUACAAAAGAAAAAAUUUCUUUAUCAAUCUUGGAAACAAUUUUGAGCACAGUUUUGGAGAGAACUAAGAAAUUUUACUCGGACAGGAAUACAGCUUGUCAAAAAUAAUAACACACAAUUUAAAACGAAAGAACAAUUUUAAUGUUACUAGGGCAUUUUGCGAGAAAUGUUAUACUCAAUCACACGUCCCAAAUCAAGGGAAAGUCCUUUGAUUAAACAUGUAGUUGAAUUGCGAUUGCAACUCGACCUUAUUACGCUUAAAUUUGAAUUUAAGACUUACGCUUGAUUUGCAAUUGAACAUAAGUUUCUUGCAGUGCCCCAUAAUUAUGUUUUGUUAUCAGAUAUUUAACGUGCUGAUUUUUCUCGAAAGGUAUAAUAUAUUUGUCCUUUUAAACGGUA